AGUCACUGACAUUAGAUACCCGCGUAGUCCCAGCCGUAAACAAUGUGCGUUAGGUGUGUCGGUAACCACGUGUUACUGAUGCGCCGAAGAGAAAUCGUGAAACGCACCACCUGGGAAGUACGGUCGCAAGGCUGAACUUAAAGGAAUUGCGGGGAGCACCACAACAGGUGGAGCCUGCGGUUUAAUUGGAUUCAACGCCGGACAUCUCACCGGAUAAGACAGCUGAAUGAUAGUCGGGCUGAAGACUCUACUUGAUGAUCUG
rnacentral:rRNA from 1 species